rnacentral:misc_RNA from 1 species
GAUGAAGAACGCAGCGAAAUGCGAUAAGUAGUGUGAAUUGCAGAAUUCAGUGAAUCAUCGAAUCUUUGAACGCACAUUGCGGCCAUAGGUAUUCCUUUGGCCAUGCCUGUUCGAGCGUCAUUUACACCCUCAAGCCUAGCUUGGUGUUGGGCGUCUGUCCCGCCGUUUUCGCGCGCGGACUCGCCUCAAAGUCAUUGGCGGCGGUCGUGCCGGCCCCCUCGCGCAGCACAUUUGCGCUUCUCGGAGGCCCGGCGGAUCCGCGCUCCAGCAAGACCUUUCACGACUUGACCUCGGAUCAGGUAGGGAUACCCGCUGAACUUAAGCAUACAAUAAGCGGAGGA